ACGAACGCUGGCGGCUGCUUAACACAUGCAAGUCGAACGGAGUGGCGUAUGGGUGAGUAACGCGUGAGCAACCUGCCUAUGAAAGUGGGAUAGCCUCGGGAAACCGGGAUUCAUACCGCAUCGUCAUAGGUGGGCUCUGGUCUGAUUAGCUCGUUGGUGAGAUAACAGCCCACCAAGGCGACGAUCAGUAGCCGGUCUGAGUGGAGGAACGGCCACAGUGGAACUUAGACACGGUGCAAGCACCUGCGGGUGGUAGAAGUGGGGAAUGAGGCACAAGGAGGGAAGCCCCGAGGCAGAGACGCCGCGUGAACGAGGAAGGUAUUCGUAGCGUAAAGUGCUGUCCGAUGGGAGGCAGUACCAGAGAAGAAAGCGCCGGCUAAAUACGUGCCAGCCGCCGCGGUAAUAC
rnacentral:rRNA from 1 species